rnacentral:piRNA from 1 species
UGAAAUAUUUGAGCUCCCAUUGUUAUCC